CACGGGGGUUGCAAGCGUUGUCCGGAAUUACUAGGCGUAAAGGGCAGGUAGGCGGAUCUAUAAGUUUGAUGUUAAAGGCAGCGGCUCACCCGCUGUACGGCGUCGGAUACUGUAGAUCUGGAAUGCGGUUGGGGAAGACAGAAUUCCUGGUGUAGCGGUGGAAUGCGCAGAGAUCAGGAGGAAUACCAAAGGCGAAGGCAGUCUUCUAAGCCGUUAUUGACGCUAAACUGCGAAGGUGUGGGUAUCAAACAGG
rnacentral:rRNA from 1 species